UACGUAGGGGGCAAGCGUUGUCCGGAUUUAUUGGGCGUAAAGAGCGUGUAGGCGGCCAUACAGGUCCGUUGUGAAAACUGGAGGCUUAACCUCCAGACGUCGAUGGAAACCGUAUGGCUAGAGUCCGGAAGAGGAGAGUGGAAUUCCUGGUGUAGCGGUGAAAUGCGCAGAUAUCAGGAAGAGCACCCGUGGCGAAGGCGGCUCUCUGGAACGCAACUGACGCUGAGACGCGAAAGCGUGGGGAGCAAACAGG
rnacentral:rRNA from 1 species